AACCUGGCCGGCUGUUUGCGUGAGACCACCUUUUAAAAUCCGCCUUGGUUCAGACCAAAGGGGUUUUGAACAAACGAUUCGUUUUCCCUUUAUAAUGCAAUACGACUCGUUUGCCACAAAAACAAUUCAUUCGAUGUAUGUAAGCCCAAAUAAAUGUCAUAUAAUAAAAAUCAAAUCUCUACCAAAAAUUUUAAAAUAAAUCAAAAUUUUACAGACAUAUCUAGAAAAAAUAAAUCUUAACAAUAAGCCAUCAUAAAAUUUUAAUUGUGCAAAAAAAUUAAAUUUGCAAAAAUUUGGUUUGAAAGGAUGAGACGUUUUCCAAAACCAAUGAAGCAAAGCAAGUGGUAUAGGGCAGUGCCUUUUCUUAAUCGGUGUCGCAUUCCCCGUAUCGAUGUGGUGAUCUAUCAGGUGUGUCCUGCCCAGGCCUGAUUUCGAAAAGGAGGGAAAGUCAACUUAAACCUCUCCACCAUCAAACUCUGCCUUGGAUCCUAAAUGUGGGCAUUACUAUCUACAACGCAACCUGGAUCAGAAAUCUCCAAUACAACAAACUUGUCAAAUCCGAAGAGAAUCCAGAAAUCAAAACCCAAGUAAAGAGUCUGACUUAAAUCGGGGGCAAUGUAUUGUACAAAGUCAGGGUUCUCGUCUGACCUUUAUAUGAAACCUCGGUCUGAAUUCUUCUUACUACGCGCAAAAAAGUACCAUUAGCAACAUCAAAUGAAGAUUUGAAUCAAAAAUUCCAAAAAACGAGAACCAAUACGCUGAUACUGGAUCAACUGUCAAUCACGAUGUAGUUCAUCUGUCAAGUGAAAUCCGUCCGUGCCAUCUAUAAGUCCGGAACCCCGGUCACUUAAGCGAAAGUUUUUUCCAUUACUGUUAGGGCAGUUGGAAAUAUUGUUGUUGUAAUACUUUUUAUUUAUGCAUCCACAAAAACUUUUUUUACACCCAGGGUAAAUACAAAAACUCAGAAGUUUGA